rnacentral:rRNA from 1 species
CACUCCUACGGGAGGCAGCAGUGGGGAAUAUUGGACAAUGGGCGCAAGCCUGAUCCAGCCAUGCCGCGUGAGUGAUGAAGGCCCUAGGGUUGUAAAGCUCUUUCACCGGUGAAGAUAAUGACGGUAACCGGAGAAGAAGCCCCGGCUAACUUCGUGCCAGCAGCCGCGGUAAUACGAAGGGGGCUAGCGUUGUUCGGAUUUACUGGGCGUAAAGCGCACGUAGGCGGACUAUUAAGUCAGGGGUGAAAUCCCGGGGCUCAACCCCGGAACUGCCUUUGAUACUGGUAGUCUUGAGUUCGAGAGAGGUGAGUGGAAUUCCGAGUGUAGAGGUGAAAUUCGUAGAUAUUCGGAGGAACACCAGUGGCGAAGGCGGGUCACUGGCUCGAUACUGACGCUGAGGUGCGAAAGCGUGGGGAGCAAACAGGAUUAGAAACCCCGGUAGUCCCAU